GUGUAAUUCAGUGGUAGAGUGUUUGCCUAGCAUGCUCAAGGCCCUGGGUUCAACCCCCAGUAUAUG
rnacentral:tRNA from 1 species